GACGGAGGGUGCAAGCGUUGUUCGGAUUGACUGGGCGUAAAGGGCGUGUAGGCGGUCGGCCAAGUCUGAUGUGAAAGCCCGAGGCUCAGCCUCGGAAGUGCGUCGGAAACUAGUCGGCUGGAGCGCGAUAGAGGAGGGUGGAAUUCCUGGUGUAGCGGUGGAAUGCGCAGAUAUCAGGAGGAACACCAAUGGCGAAGGCAGAUCUCUGGGCCGUAACUGACGCUGAGGAGCGAAAGCAUGGGGAGCGAACAGG
rnacentral:rRNA from 1 species